rnacentral:rRNA from 1 species
UGGGGAAUAUUGGACAAUGGGGGGAACCCUGAUCCAGCCAUGCCGCGUGUGUGAAGAAGGCCUUAUGGUUGUAAAGCACUUUAAGCGAGGAGGAGGGUACUGGUAUUAAUACUACCAGGUACUGGACGUUACUCGCAGAAUAAGCACCGGCUAACUCUGUGCCAGCAGCCGCGGUAAUACAGAGGGUGCGAGCGUUAAUCGGAUUUACUGGGCGUAAAGCGUGCGUAGGCGGCUAAUUGAGUCGGAUGUGAAAUCCCCGAGCUUAACUUGGGAAUUGCAUUCGAUACUGGUUAGCUAGAGUGUGGGAGAGGAUGGUGGAAUUUCCUGUGUAGCGGUGAAAUGCGUAGAUAUAGGAAGGAACACCAGUGGCGAAGGCGACCACCUGGGCUCAUACUGACACUGAGGUGCGAAAGCGUGGGGAGCAAACAGG